CACGGGGGGAGCAAGCGUUGUUCGGAAUCACUGGGCGUAAAGGGCGUGUAGGCGGUCAGGUAAGUGGGAUGUGAAAUGCCCCGGCUCACCCGGGGACCGGCAUCCCAUACUGCUUGGCUUGAGUACGGGAGAGGAUGUGGGAAUUCCUGGUGUAGCGGUGAGAUGCGUAGAUAUCAGGAGGAACACCGGUGGCGAAGGCGCACAUCUGGCCCGAUACUGACGCUGAGGCGCGAAAGCUAGGGGAGCAAACGGG
rnacentral:rRNA from 1 species